rnacentral:rRNA from 1 species
UACGUAGGUGGCAAGCGUUGUUCGGAAUUAUUGGGCGUAAAGGGCUCGUAGGCGGUUUGUCGCGUCGGGAGUGAAAACCCAGGGCUUAACCCUGGGCUGGCUUUCGAUACGGGCAGACUAGAGGUAUGCAGGGGAGAACGGAAUUCCUGGUGUAGCGGUGAAAUGCGCAGAUAUCAGGAGGAACACCGGUGGCGAAGGCGGUUCUCUGGGCAUUACCUGACGCUGAGGAGCGAAAGUGUGGGGAGCGAACAGG